AUUGACUUUCUCCUAAAUACAAGCUUACACCAACAUUGACAAACUACUGGUUCUUAACGUAACUGACUCUACUGUAACAACUAGCCCCAAGCAAACAUUACAGCUAUAAACGUUACCCUGACACUAGAGUAUUAUAGGAAAGAUUAAAAGAGAGAGAAGGAACUCGGCAAAUAUAACCCCGCCUGUUUACCAAAAACAUCGCCUCCUGAUUUCCCAUAGGAGGUCCAGCCUGCCCAGUGACUCUGUUCAACGGCCUCGGUAUCCUGACCGAGCGAAGGUAGCAUAAUAACUUGUUCUUUAAAUAGGGACUUGCAUCAACGGCAUCACGAGGGUUAGACUGUCUCCUCCCUCUAAUCAGUGAACCUGACCUCUUCGUGAAGAGGCGAAGAUUCGACUAUAAGACGAGAAGACCCCAUGGAGCUUAAAAUAUAGAAACACUUUCUUUCUACACACCCUAAGAAACAAGAAAGUUUGUUAGCUAAUUUUUGGCUGGGGUGCCCGAGGAGAACAACCUAUCCUCCCUGAUGACCACUAUCCAAGAGUAACAACUCAAAGAAACAGUAAACUGACAUAACAUGACCCGAUAUAACUAUCGAUCAACGAACCAAGUUACCCUGGGGAUAACAGCGCAAUCCAUUUCAAGAGCCCUUAUCGACAAAUGGGUUUACGACCUCGAUGUUGGAUCAGGGUAUCCUAGUGGUGCAGCAGCUACUAAAGGUU
rnacentral:rRNA from 1 species